rnacentral:rRNA from 1 species
AACGAACGCUGGCGGCAUGCCUAACACAUGCAAGUCGAACGGGACCUUCGGGUCUAGUGGCGCACGGGUGCGUAACGCGUGGGAACCUGCCCUUAGGUUCGGAAUAACUCCCCGAAAGGGGUGCUAAUACCGGAUAAUGUCUUCGGACCAAAGAUUUAUCGCCUUUGGAUGGGCCCGCGUUGGAUUAGCUGGUUGGUAGGGUAAAAGCCUACCAAGGCGACGAUCCAUAGCUGGUCUGAGAGGAUGAUCAGCCACACUGGGACUGAGACACGGCCCAGACUCCUACGGGAGGCAGCAGUGGGGAAUAUUGGGCAAUGGGCGAAAGCCUGAUCCAGCAAUGCCGCGUGAGUGAUGAAGGCCUUAGGGUUGUAAAGCUCUUUUACCCGGGAUGAUAAUGACAGUACCGGGAGAAUAAGCUCCGGCUAACUACGUG